UCAAUUUUAAACAAAAACACGUUACUUUUAAUGUCUUGCUUUGAAACUUACCAACAUUUAACUCUCCUUCAGUUUCCAAUGAAUUUCCAUAUGCCUUGCUCUUAAAUCCAUAGUCAUUCUUUUCCAAAGAAUGUCGCUGCCAAUAACCAAUUGUAUUCUUGACCAAAAAAAAAAAAAAAACCAAUUGUAUUUGGUUUCUUCCUUAGUACUUAGUACUGUAGCUCACUCAUGAAUUCAACUCUUUGUGCUCUUCAUGAUUAAAAGCAAAAACAAAUCACAUUCAUAUUUACUAUAUUGUUUCCAAUUUUUCAUCGGUUUUCUUUCUCUACCAAGCUUCACACUUUCUGUUUGUGAUAUAAAUUAAAUUCUUCCUGGUUUUUUCUAUGUGGGGUUGGAUGGAGCCCAUAGGGAGGACUUUGACGGUGGUUGGGUUUAUGCUGUGCAUUCAAGGUUGUAAUUCAUGGUUUGGGUAGAAAGUUGAAAAUUUCUGCACAGCCACAUGAUUUAGCAAAGAUGGUGAAGCGGUUAAGGUGGACCAAAGCAAUUUAAUUUUUUUGAUUUAUGGCUGAGAGCAACGGAAGAUAUAGGAUGUGUUAGUGUGAUGGCCAACACAAGCAUCUUCAUGUCAGAUGGUUUAGUUGAUUGGUUAUCAUCAAAUGUUCUUAAAAUCCAAAGAGUACUGUUAAAGUGCACAAACACAGUUUCAAUUAAUCAAGCUAAUUAUUAACCUUA